ACGAAUGAGCCUUGAGAAAGCAUCUCUAGAGCUCAUUCUGUGUUCAAGUCUCGAACGAGCAACAGCUCCCAAAAUUAUUUGUGCUAAAAAAAUAUUAAAUAAAAAUUUCGUCAAAAAAAAAUUAAAGUGAAAAAAAAUAAAAAAUUUAAAAUCCCAAAAUUAUUUGUGCUAAAAAAUAUUAAAUUUCGACAAAAAAAAAUUAAAGUGAAAAAAUAAAAAAUUGAAAAUCCCAAAAUUAUUUGUGCUAAAAAAUAUUAAAUUUCGACAAAAAAAAUUACAGUGAAAAAAAAAAAUUUAAAACUAUUCGCAUCUAGUGUGCCUUGAUUUUGGAUUAGAAAUACAAGAGCUAAUAAAUUUCUAGUUUUUAAAUAGAGGGCUCAAUCAGAAAAAGGAUAAUUUGGAACUCCAACUUAUUUUAAAUAAAUGGUUGGUGAUGCCUCCUUCUGUUACAUACAUUUCCUGCCGCUGAAAAUUAUAAUGCAGGUAUAAUAAACUGCAAUAAGCUAGUUACAAACCAAUAUUUAUUUUCGAAAUCAGUUGAAUGAUUCCAUUUAAUUGAAUGAUCAAUCAGCUGUCACUGAAAAAACUACAAUGCAAUGCAAAUAAGAGGCAAUAAAAAUAUAAAAUAUCAAAUUAAUCUUUAUUAUACAUUUUAA